CGUAGACAGAUGGCCACAAGUGGACGCGCCGCCCCCCGCCCUAGCCUUGGCCGCCUUCGUUCCUCAGUUCGCGCUUUCGCGCGCAUGCACCUUCCUCUUCCUGCGUGCGUGCCUAUAUUAGGCGGAUGAGCUCACCGCGCCGUGAUCUGACCCAAUUGACGAUGCGCCAGAUGCAGCCGACUGACCACCAGCACCCGAGCAGCAGCGAGAGAGCGCCGCCGCUCGCGGCCGCCGUCGGCAAAGAUGAUGGCGCGUCGUCGUCGUCGUCGUCGGUGGUGGUCAAGAUCGACGACCUCCGCUGCCACGGAGACUGGGGGGCGGCCGCUGGGUCCGCCGCCGUGGACGUGUGCCUCGCCGCGGCCGCCGUGGCCGGCGCCGCGCUGCUGGCGUGGUGGGCCGUCGCGUUCCACCCGUCGUACGCGCAGCUGUGGAUGGUGCCGCUCGGACUCGUGCUCGCCGGCACCCCGCCCGUCGUCUGCCUCGCGCUCCGCUUCAGCCCCGACGCCCGCGCGCCGCCGCCGCCGGGAAAAGACGGACCCGCGGGUGCGCGUGCGCCGCCGCCGCCGCCGCCGUUGGUCGCCGUUGUCAUCGACAAGCAGUAGCGCGUUCGUACGUGUGUGCAUGGUGCGUACAUAUCAAAGACACAUCUCUGCUGCCGUGUGUAUAUUCUUUGAUUAGUUUCAUUUGGGCCGGGAGGCGAGGGCAUAAUAUGCUGUGAUAUGUACAGAGGUAGACGACGAUGGAGUCAUGGAGAUCAUCCUGAGAUGUACGUGCUUUGAUUUGGGGUACGAAAAAAAAGGCAUCGAAUAAAGAAUGUAAUAAACAGCAACAAACAAUUCUGUGAUUGUUGA